CCGCAUCAACUCCGAUCCUAACAAUCAGCGAACAUCCUCGGCCUCCGAACAUUACAUCUGCCGCGGGUUCGUAGAGGUAGUCGUAUUGAAUCUCUAUCUCUUACUUAAGCCGACGGCCGGGCCAGCCCCUCUUCGGCGUCUUCGCUCCCCUCGCUGGCUGUCUCCUUAUCUCUCUCAGGUUUCCUAUAAAGCCUUGGAAAACCUUUAAAGCUGUGGGUGAAGAUCUUCCAUGGAGAUAACGUCGAGGACAGAUCUGAGAUAUCGAUAGGUUCUCAUUGUUUUUCUUGGUCGGCGACACAAUGGAGCCCGGUUCAAUAAGGGUACCUUACCGGCACCUGAAGGAGGAGGAGCUUGAGCUCGUCACCAUAAACGGAUCUGAAGAUCAGAUAGAUCCUAGCCCAGGAAGCACUCCACCGAAGCCGGACCAGCGCUCUCCGUCGAAAUCUACCAGUCUCAAGACAUUGAUCUUCACUUGCAUGGUCGCCGCUGGAGUUCAGUUCGGCUGGGCCCUUCAGUUGUCCCUCUUGACUCCCUAUAUCCAGGCUCGCGAGCUCGACCAACGAUCUCCCAAUGGAAGGCACAAAUGGAGGGAGCGUUGGAGAUCCACUUUGGAGACACUUGGAAUAGGGCAUGCAUUCUCUUCGUUCAUCUGGCUUUGUGGACCCAUUACAGGCCUUGUGGUUCAACCAUGUGUUGGUAUUUGGAGUGAUAAAUGCAGAUCAAGAUAUGGUAGGAGACGUCCUUUUAUUUUCCUUGGGUCUCUCAUGAUCUGUAUAGCAGUUAUAAUUAUAGGAUUCUCUGCGGAUAUUGGAUAUCUACUGGGUGAUACUAAGGAGCAUUGCAGCACUUAUAGAGGCACUCGGACACGAGCUGCUAUCAUAUUUAUAAUUGGAUUUUGGAUGCUGGACCUUGCUAAUAAUACUGUCCAAGGCCCAGCACGUGCUCUGCUAGCUGAUCUCUCAGGUCCAGAUCAACGACAUUUAGCAAAUGCAAUAUUUUGCUCAUGGAUGGCAGCUGGAAAUAUUCUUGGUUAUUCUUCUGGAGCUAGUGGAAAUUGGCACAGGUGGUUCCCUUUCCUAACAACUAAGGCAUGUUGUGAAGCAUGUGGCAAUCUGAAAGCAGCCUUUCUUGUAGCUGUGGUAUUUUUAAUUUUUUGCACCAUUGUGACCCUCUAUUCAGCUAAAGAGAUCCCAUUACAUGGAACUGCAUCAUCAACAUCGUUCGAUUCUGCUCCACUGUUAAAUAGCAGACAUUCAAUAUCAAAUGAUGGUAACGGGAAGUUGGAUGAGAAUUGUUUGUCUGAGGCAAGCAAGUGGACUUCAACUAUUUCUGGGAAUUCAGUACCUUUGGAAGCCAAAAUGGAUGAGAAGGAAGCCUUUCUUGAUGGACCUGGAGCUGUUCUGAUCAAUUUUCUUACAAGUUUGAGGCGUUUGCCAUCUACCAUGCAUCCUGUACUUAUUGUUAUGGCACUUAGUUGGUUAUCAUGGUUCCCAUUCUUCCUUUUUGAUACGGACUGGAUGGGACGUGAAGUUUAUCAUGGUGAUCCAAAAGGGCAUCCUUCUGAAGUCAAAGCUUAUGAUAAAGGUGUCAGAGAAGGUGCAUUUGGUUUGCUAUUGAAUUCAGUUGUUCUGGGGAUCAGUUCACUUCUUAUAGAACCAAUGUGUAAACGUCUAGGUGCAAAGCUUGUAUGGGUGAUGAGCAAUUUUAUUGUAUUUAUCUGCAUGUUAGCAACGGCAGUUAUAAGUUUGCUGUCCAUCAGGGAGUACUCCAAUAGAAUCGAGCACAUACUUGGUGAUAAUUCAAAAGUCAAGGCUGCUGCUCUAUUUGUGUUUGCACUACUUGGAUUCCCGCUUGCUAUUACUUUCAGCGUCCCUUUUUCCAUAACUGCAGUGCUGACUGCUGAUACUGGUGGUGGCCAAGGCUUGGCUACAGGUGUAUUAAACCUUGCUAUUGUCAUUCCUCAGUUCCUGUAGGUGCAAACACAGGCACGUGCACACCGCGGGCGGCCUACAGCCGAGAGACAACCCCUAUGGUGGCCCAGAACAGUAUAGAUCCGUUCAUCCGCUGCAUCGGUAGAACACUCAUCCAUGGAUGUAUGAAUUCCAAGGAGAGAUACUCAGUCUUCCCUAGGACACCCAGGUUGGGAAUGUGGGAGUCUAUGCUCCAAGCACAUCACACAACAGUACCCUGGGGCCUUGCACCGUCUGCGCUCCGAACAGGCGAGACCAGUGGCGAAGGCGGGACAACUCCCAAACACAUAGCCACAUCCCACUGGCCUCUCAUCUCUUAUUCUUUCAUUCUUACAAUUAUACUUGCACAAACACAAAUAACUGGCUAGCUCAUGAGGUUGGUUCACUUCACGAGUGGACUCACACCUCCAAUUGCCUCCACACGAGGGCUACACAUAACAACAACAGUUUUGGCUAGCUGUCUCAACAAUAUGGGUACAACUACCUUCUGUUCAAUCAUUUGCAUCAUUGCCCGCGGCAAUGUGUAUUCAACAAACACAACAUUCACAUUCAUUAUUACAAUAAUCACAUCUUUGAAAAACUUAGCCAAACCACAGAGAGUAGUCUCGAUCUGUGAUGGGCUCGUAGCUGUCCUAUGCAGUUAUCAUUUUAGGAUGCUUUAUAAUGCACAAUUGGGGUCGAGGAGACACUCGAUUCGAUACCCCACCUCAUUUGUCCUAAACAGUUAUCAAUUCUAGCAUGCACAUGCAAAUGCAUGAUAUUUCAAAACAGACUUGUAAUAGCUUUUCAAAACACAUCAUAUCAGAUAUCAAACCAUUUGCAUGCACACACACAUUCAUUCACCAAACAAUCAAUCAAUCAAUCACAAUCCUAGGAUCCCAUGAUCCUAGGAACACACAUUCACACAUUGCCCUAGGCAAGGAUUUGCCUGGAAUGCUGCCAUACUAGUCACGCAUCCAGAAAAUUCUCCAAAAUGUCUCGAGCUUCGAAUAUGGUCGCUCAAGGUCGACGGGACGUGCCCGGUGUACCUGCAGACAAGGAAAAAGGUAAGAUCUCUACUAAUUAGCUUAUCAAUCCAAACCAAGCUAAAACAAAAUCAUUGAGGCACAUAUCAUCGCCUCAAGAGGGUGUCGAUGGGUAGUGUCGACCUACAAGCCCUCCAAUAGGCCUCCUCCUAACUUCUUGACGUUACCACGAGACCCUAAAACUCAAUGCUUCGCUCAGUCCAUCCUUAACACAUUCUUAAAUGCUUUCUGUAGUCUAGGCGUCAACCCCAUUGUCACAUCCAACUUAGGUACACUUUCCCCAAAUAACUCCAAGAUACGGCCGCUCGCAAAAGCGUGAGCCACGUGCUCAAAAGGAUGGUUCUAAAUCUUCCCUACAACAUCACAAUCCCUACCAUGCUUCCCUAUUACUUCAAAAAUCAACACCUUGAGCCUAAGAGAUCAAUAAAUACAUGAAUCAACGCUUCUCCAACAUAAUCCUACACUUUCCCCAAAAAGCAAAGUCGCUAACAUGCAUUCCAAAACAUCAAUUCUACCUUCUAGCAUGCUUUAACAAUAAUUAUACGCGUUCCAAAGGAAAAUAUACAAGAAAUAGGCUCAAUUACGCCUUGCUCACCCCAAAUCAAGAGUCUAGACUGCUGCAAUCCUUCCGGCAGCCACCUCAAGCAUUCAAUCGAUCCCCAAACGGCAAAAAUCGUGCCAAGUCGCCACCAUCAACACCACCUAAUCGCUGUUAUGAGGGGAAGAACACGUUCCCCAAGCUGGAAUCCUAUCAAACAGUGAUGAAAUCAAUGAGGAAGAGUGCUCGGUUGGGGAAAAGGGGGAAAACAAAUAGAAAAAUGGGGAGAGAGAGCUCACGUAGGGAGCGUGUGGGCAGGGAGAGGCGCUGACAGAAUUGGGAAACAGAGAGAGAGGGUUCGGACCACAAAAAGGGGAAAACGGCAGUGAGGGUGAGAGUGCGUGAGUAGGGGGAAGAAAACGUGAGGGUGAGGGUGAGUGAGGAGAGGGACCAUACGGGAGGGAGCUAACGGAAAAGGGAAAAGAGAGUAGCGAGAAAGAGAAAGAGGGAACGUGCGGCAGAGAAGGCAAGAGAGCGUGGGGGUGGCGGAUAAGGGAAAUAGCACGAGAGAGAGAGUGUUUACCCAAGCGCCGCCGCAGUCGCCGCCGUCAGUCCAGCCACCACCACUACCACACCGUCCGCCCACUUCUUCUCCGCGUGGAGCUCCUUAGCAGCAAGAGAGGCAACGAAGGGGGAGAGCGAGAGGAGGACGAGGGAGAACAGCCCUCGUCGGGCUCUUACGUGGGUAAGCUGCGGGUCCGGGUCUGGGUCCCGAUCCGACCCGACCUGCCCAAAAACAUAACGAGCGUUACAGCAAGCCUAUUGGUUUUCUCACUUUUCUGUAACAGCUGAUUGCUUAUUGUUUUAUUCUUUGAGUUUUCUGUUCAUUGUAUUUUUUUUUUGUUUUGCAUUUUUUAUUAUUUUUUUAUGGGAUUACAGUUAUGAACUAUUAAUGUUUUUUUUUCAAUUUAUCAUUUUUGAGAAUUUAAAAAUUUGUCGUACCCGCAUACCCAUAAUUUACAAAAUUGUCAUACCCGUACUGUACCCACAUCCAUGUGACAUAACAUAUCGCCAGUUGGACCAUCUUGAAGUAGUUGGCUUCUCAGGUGCUGAGUUAGGAGGAUGUCUUGAUAGAAAGAAAUCUACUACAGAAUAUAUCUUCUUUGUAACUAGAGUGUCAUUUCAUGGAGUAGCAAGAAGCAAAUUGUUAUUGUUGUUCAUAUAAUGGAAGCAGAGUUUGCAUUAUAUUAGACUACAUUGCAAACAAUAUAGAUGAAGAAUUUCAUUUCAUAGCUUAGGGUAAUGGAAUCUAUUGAAAGUCCACUUAAAGUUACUGUGACAGUGAAGCUGUGGUGUCUUUCUUUAAUAACAACAAAAAUGCAACCUUAUAUAAUCAUAUAGAAUUAAAGUACUUUAUUGUUAAAGACAAGACAAAAAUCAUUUAGUGUGGAUUCAGUAAAACAAUACUAAAGAUAUAGUGGCAGAUCCUCUUACUAAAGUGCUAGUGUUGUCUGGAUUAUGUUCUAAACAUGUAACAAGGAUGAGAUUAUUUAAUUCAAUAUAAACGCACCAUAUGUAAUAUAGUGAUUACAUACAGUUUGUUGAUUCUUAUAAAGUUUAAUUGUCUAUUUUAUAUAUUUUUUCAUUAUUUUGUUGUUUGAGGAAUGUAAAACAAUGACUUAAAGAGCAUAAAAUGGAUCUCAAGGCCAAUCCAUUCAUAAAGUAUUUACACACUCAUAUCGAUCAGGACUAGUGGGAGAUUGUUGGGUUGUGUUGGAUCCAGAUCCACCAUAAUAGUCAUCUAUCGAUAAAAAUGAGCGAUUAGAGAUAUAUAAACCAUAGUGUCCUGUGAUGAGAGGGACACGUUACAUACUCUGCCAGUUUGGGUAAACCUGGUCUUUCUCAGCCCUUGUCUGACGAGAUGAUGGCUGAGGGGAGAAGCCCAGCUCCUCCUUCCACUGUUGUAGAUGCAGCUGUUCAUUCAACAACGACCAACAGCCAUGCGGUGGACCCCAACAUAGGUUUGUUUCUUCCCUAGCACCAUAAAAUUUUUAUUUGUUCUUUGCAUCUACCUUUUUGUGAGACCCCAGCAAGUAUGGAAUAACCAGCCAGUCUGCCCAAUGGCAGUGACCCAAGGCAACCGGGCCUGUCUGUGCAUCAGCAUGAUGAUCACCGUCCACACGAACAGGCCCGGUUGCCUUGGGUCAUUGCCAUUGGGCAGGAUAGACAUUAUCUCUUUCCUCCAGAACUCCUUUCUCCCAAACCCUCUCUUUCAUUUUUUUUUUUUUUUUCGAAAUGGCUUCUUGAUCACUGGCAAGGCAGCAACAGUUGGAUGCAUCAGACCCAAGGCUAAGGCCAACUAUGCUUGUGCAUGCCGAUUGUUGUUCUACUCAAUGGCAGAUACCAAACACUGACUGGACCCAUUAGUAUUGAUGGUGUUAGGGAAAAAAACGAACCUGUAUUGGGGACCACUACAUGGCUGUGAGCCGUCAGUUGAAUGAACAGCUGCACAACAGUGGAAGGAGGAGCUGGGCUGUCCCCCUUAGCCAUUGUCUUGCAUGAUGAGGAAGAUACACAGGCUGUGACAAGGGCCAAGAGAGAUGGGGUUUACCCAAACCAACAGAAUGAUAGUUGCCCUGGGAGCUGGACCUUGGGAUGCCCUCUUUGGAGGUGGUAAUGUACCUGCAUUUGUCCUGGCUUCUCUAGCUGCACUUGUCGCGGCUGUUAUUGCAGCCAGGAAACUGCCAAGGCUAUCAAACA